CAGUCGCCACGGGAAUACGGAGGGUGCAAGCGUUAAUCGGAAUUACUGGGCGUAAAGCGCACGCAGGCGGUCUGACAAGUCAGAUGUGAAAUCCCCGGGCUUAACCUGGGAACUGCAUUUGAAACUGUCAGGCUGGAGUCUUGUAGAGGGGGGUGGAAUUCCAGGUGUAGCGGUGAAAUGCGUAGAGAUCUGGAGGAAUACCGGUGGCGAAGGCGGCCCCCUGGACAAAGACUGACGCUCAGGUGCGAAAGCGUGGGGAGCAAACAGGAUUAGAUACCACUGUAGUCCCUGUCUCUUAUAC
rnacentral:rRNA from 1 species